UACGUAGGGUGCAAGCGUUAAUCGGAAUUACUGGGCGUAAAGCGUGCGUAGGCGGUUGGCAAAGUCAGCUGUGAAAGCCCCGGGCUUAACCUGGGAAUGGCGGUUGAAACUAGUCGACUAGAAUCUGGCAGAGGGGGGUGGAAUUCCACGUGUAGCAGUGAAAUGCGUAGAGAUGUGGAGGAACACCGAUGGCGAAGGCAGCCCCCUGGGCUGAGAUUGACGCUCAGGCACGAAAGCGUGGGGAGCAAACAGG
rnacentral:rRNA from 1 species